UUGAUUCCCCGUGUGGGAUUCAUAAAGUUGAUCGUAUCUUAUCUGCUUGUGGAUGUUUUAUUGGUAAAAAUGUGUGUGUGUGUGUAUGUGUGUGUGUGUGUGUGUGUGUGAGUGUGUGUGUGUGUGUGUCGUACAGGUAAACCAGUAAUCCUCUUUAGUUAGUUAAUGAUUGAUUAAUGACAGCUCUAACUCAGCUACAGAUCUGUUUGAUGUGAGGUGUUUCUGACAGCGUGGAUAAGAUCUCUUUUCUAUGUUUCUUUGGUUUGUUGUCUUGUCUGUUUCCUGACUUUUAAAAGUCUGUAAUCCUUUUCUUCUCCUUCAAAGUGAUAAAUGUCUUUCCUUAGCUUUUUAUCCGAUUGUAUUUUGAUACGUUGGGAGUCCCAUGCUAUCACUGCAGACGAUACAAAGUACAGCAGAACUUAAUACCCUUGACGUGACUUUAGUUCCACUGUUUUAACCUCCACCAUCGUGACUGGGUCAUGGUGGUUUUAUAGCUUUAUAUGGACCUCCUCAAACCUUUGCUCUGUCUUGAUACAGUUAUGGGUGUGUUCUGGUGAAGCCCAGCCCUGACCAUCAUAAAGGUUCCAGGUGUAGUCAGCUGUCGUUCAAAGCCUCCUUCCUCAUUCCAUCUGUCCUCACUGAGGAGCCCAGCAGCUCAAUCUGUACUCAGAACCUUUAGAACCGUGUUCACGUUCUGUCUCCGUUCUGAACACUUACUUUGUGUUUUGGCGAACACCUGAAUCUCUUCCUUCAACUGAUCUUACUUUCCAUCCUUUUGUGCUUUUAUAUUUUCAUACAACACGGGACAGCACACCUUUCACCACAGAGAAGCUAAGGUGUGUGUGCGGCCGUUGCUAGUCAGAACCAUUUGACGUGACAUGUGGUAAGUUCACAUUGUAAAUAGCUCCCGAAGGUUGAUAAGUUUAAGAUCGAGGAUGUAUGUUUAUGUUAUGAACCUCGACAUAUUAGAUGAUUGUAUAAUUGAUAUGUUAUUAUUGUUUUUAUAGUUUGUCACUUGGUAGGGAGUUUAUUCAUAUUUUUAGUUUGACCACAUGUUACUGGUUAGCUAUGUUGGAUGUCCGCUAGCAAUUCAAGUGUUUUGUUUUACUCGUGCAGAUCCUGCUGUACAAAUCACAAA
rnacentral:lncRNA from 1 species